GAGAGGUGGAUAAAGUUUAAAAAAAUAUCAAUAAUUUAAUUAAAAGUUAUUAAAGUUCUAAACUACCUUAUGAUUUAGUUUAUGAUUGAAGAUUGAUUAGGAUUUGAUUUAAGAUUUAGGAUUUAGUUAGGAUUUGGUUUAGGAUUUAGAAUUUGAUUUUGGAUUUUAGAUUUUAUUAGGAUUUGAUUUAGAACUUAGAAUUUGAUUAGAAAUUGGUUUAGGAUUUAUAAUUUGGUUAGGAUUUGUGUAGAGUUUGAAUUAAGAUUUAUGAUUGAUUAGGAUUUAAUUUAGGAUUUAGAAUUUAGUUAGAAUUUGAUUUAUGAUUUAUGGUUUGUUUAGGAUUUGGUUUAGAAUUUAAGAUUUGGUUAGGAUUUGAUUUAGGAUUUAGGAUUUAGGAUUUGGUUAAGAUUUGAUUUAGAGUUUAGAAUUUGGUUAGGAUUUGAUUUAGGAUUUAGAAUUUUAUUAGGAUUUGUAUAGGAUUUGGAUUAAGAUUUAGGAUUGAUUAGGGUUUGAUUUAAAAUUUAAGAUUUAAUUAGGAUUUGAUUUAGCAUUUAAGAUUUAAUUAGAGUUUAUUUAGGAUUUGGUUUAAGAUUUAGGAUUUGACUAGGAUUUAUUUAAGGUUUAAUUUAGGAUUUAGAAUUAUUUUAGGAUUUGAUUUAGGAUUUAGAAUUUAUUUAGGAUUUGAUUAAAAUCUAUUAGGAUUUUAAUUAGGAUUAAAUUCAAAAUUAAUUGUGAUUUAUUUAAGAUAU
rnacentral:lncRNA from 1 species